CAAACACGGAAACUCACAGCAAGGCAGCAGCCAACUGGGCCGGGUGAAGCUGAAUCGGCCGGGAGGGCGCCGAGGCCGCGAGUCGGGCCGGAGCAAAGGCGCGGCGGCUGAGGCGCAGGUCGGGAGACUGAGGCAGAGAGGGGGAAAUGCCCAACAUGCCAACGUAACCAGCAAAGCGUAGAUGGGAGCCCGGGCCCUCUGAAAGAGCGGAAAAGAAGAAAGUCUCGUGCCCGCGCGCAUUUCACGUCCUCAGUGCAGCAGUAAAAGCACGUGCCCUAGUAGGCUUGUUAUUCGUAGAGGGACCCAUGUGCAAGUGGAUCCGCGCAGCUCCGGGGACACCAGGCCUGACUCCUUGGCGCCCCCGCAUGGCUCGGGACUCCCUAUACCAGUUCCCAGGCGACCCUGGAGAGGUUUCAUUUCCCACACUACAGCCAUCGUGAUCCUAAGGCAAAUACUAGAACAGACACUUCUCUGCCUAAAUCCUCAGUGCUUACCCCAGAAUUAAAUUGAAAUCGGCCCCUUGCCGCAGCCUUCCGGGCCUGAUCUGGGGAUCUUCCCUCCCUCCCUGCACUCUAGCUGCAGGAGCUUCCUGGUGUCUGCCCAGAGCUUGUCCCUAAACUGAGUGGCUCAUCUUUCCCAUCCCUGCUGAAGACACCUCCUCUUAGAGGCCUUCUCGGAGUGGUUCCUGUUGUUCUUUUUCAGCACCCUCUUUACUUCCUGCUCAGUUCUGAUAACUAUUUAUAAUUAUUUAUUUGUUGGUUAACAUGCGUUUUUUUGUUUGGUUGGGUGGUAGAUUUCCCACUCCAGUUGACCAUAUCUGUAUGCCAAGUGCCUGGUAUAUAUUAAUAGUAGUACCUAAUGGUCAAAUAAGUGAAUUAGUGAACCCCUAUCUGCCAGAGUUGUGACAGAGAACAAAUAAGAUAAUAUAUAUGAAUGUGCUUUAUUUUCUGUAAACCAGGGGUCCCCAACCCCUGGGCUACUGACCAGUACUGGUCUGUGGCCUGUUAGGAACUGAGUGGCACAGCAGGAGGUGAGAGGAGGCAAGCCAGCGAAACUUCAUCUGUAUUUACAGCCACUCCCCAUCACUGGCAUUACCGCCUGAGCUUCGCAUCCUGUCAGAUCAGCAGUGGCAUUAGAUUCUCAGAGGGGUGCACAAACCUUAUUAUGAACUACCCUCAUGAGGAAUGUAGGUUGCACGCUCCUUAUGAGAAUCUAAUGCCCGAUGAUCUGAGGUGGAACAGUUUCAUCCCGUCUGUGAAAAAAAUUGCCUUCUGUGAAACUAGUGCCAAAAAGAUUGAGGACCACUGCCGUAAACCCAAAGUGUGGUUAAUGGACUCCAUAUCACCAGGGAGCUUGUUGAAAAUGCAGAAUCUUAGGCCCCACUGCCAACCUACUGAAUCAGAAUCUGCAUUUUAACAAGAUUUCUGGGCAGUUUGUUUGCACAAUAAAGUUUGAGAAGCACCACUAUAAAGCACUAUA